GCUGUACGCCCCUUGAAAUGUAACUCUGAGAUGGGGAUUAUCAUGUAGUGCUGUGGGAGUGUAAGGUCAGACAGCAACUUGCCCACCUGCUCCGCAGUGUGGAUGGAUGAUUGACGGCUCCAGUUGAACUGAGGUCGACAGCUCCAGCAAACCAGGUGCCUACUUGGGUUGACAGCCCCAGCCAAAUCACUCUUGACAGUUCUUUGCCUAACCAUGGGGGUCAAUGAUUGAAAGCUCUAAACAAUUCACAUUCGACAGCCACUGCCAACCCCACUCAUAUGACAACCUGGCCAGGCCCACAUGACAACUCCCUUGCCAUACACGAUCCAAACUUACUUCCUUUUACAUGCACCAGCCAAGCCCCAUUUUUUUUUUUUUUUUUUGACAGGCAGAGUGGACAGUGAGAGAGAGAGAGACAGAGAGAAAGGUCUUCCUUUGCCAUUGGUUCACCCUCCAAUGGCUGCCGCGGCCGGCGCACUGCGGCCGGCGCACCGCGCUGAUCCGAUGGCAGGAGCCAGGAGCCAGGUGCUUUUCCUGGUCUCCCAUAGGGUGCAGGGCCCAAGCACCUGGGCCAUCCUCCACUGCACUCCCUGGCCACAGCAGAGGGCUGGCCUGGAAGAGGGGCAACCGGGACAGAAUCUGGCGCCCCGACCGGGACUAGAACCCAGUGUGGCCCCAUUUUCUGUACAUAAUGCAAGCCCACCUCCCAUGCACCAGCAAGCCCCUGUCCCUUUCCAAGUAGUCAAAACCAGAGUUCCACAAUGUUGUGAACUUGCAGCCAGGGCUAGCUAGAAAUAUCCAAUAUGGCUGCAGGAUGCGCUCUUCCCCCUCCACCAUUACCUUUAGGUCAUUAUAAUGUGAUUAUCAUAAAAUUACCAUGGAGCACGCCCACUCCCAUCAUGACACUUCCAAUACUUCCUUAAAACAGAAAAAAAAAAAAGGGCAGCACUCAAGCCCCCACGCCUAACUCUGCCCCUUCUGAACAGUAAAUUAGGUUACAUGCUGGACAUCUGCCCUGGUAUAAACGGAAGGCCUAACCUUACUGACGUACCUUUUUCCUUUGUCAGAGCUUUCUCCUUUGUGGGGGGCUUUUUCACUGUUGGGAGCUUUUCCUUGGAGAGGGAUUUUUAUUUGUUUGGGGAGUUCUUGCAUUUUUAUGUGUCUAUUCAACUCACAUCUUUGUGGUUGAACUUGAACUUCUGUUUUGCUCCAGAUAAAUCCUGCUCUUCGGUACAUGUUUACACCUCUACCUUUGAAUUCUUUCACACAUGGAGGGAAGAACCUGAAAUAAGACUAGCCAGGAGCUCCCAGCACCCGCAGCCCACAGCAGUAGAACCUUUAUUAGAGGUUACCUUGGAAUCAACAGCAAAAAGGUAUCCCAGUGGCCUAGCCAGGAUGGAAACCAGCAGUCAAGGCAUCUUAGGUGCUGGAGUAGCUGUGAGUGUGGAGUGUCGCUUCUCCAAGAUCCAAGAAUGGCCAGAGCAACCGUGGUGGGCAGUGGCACAAGGGAUCAAAAGACCCACCGACAUGAGCGUGAGAGAGUGCAUUUACUAUUCCUCUUUAGCUGCUGGUACUCCUGUCUUCAAAGAAUUUACAGAAAGGUGAUGGAAAUAAUUGCAAGACACAAAGCUACUGGGAAACAGCAGGCUUGGCACCCAGACGUGUCAGCUGGUAUUGUCAGUUCACUAUCCCUGAAACUGCCAGAGAACCAUCCUCCCAUGCGGCAUUCCUCGGAGCACCAAGAGGAUAUGAAGUUUAUUAUUCAAAUUGAAUAAACAAAGAGACCUCAGAAUUCA
rnacentral:lncRNA from 1 species